rnacentral:rRNA from 1 species
GACCAACGCUGGCGGCGUGCCUAAUACAUGCAAGUAGAACGCUGAAGAGAGGAGCUUGCUCUUCUUGGAUGAGUUGCGAACGGGUGAGUAACGCGUAGGUAACCUGCCUUGUAGCGGGGGAUAACUAUUGGAAACGAUAGCUAAUACCGCAUAACAAUGGAUGACACAUGUCAUUUAUUUGAAAGGGGCAAUUGCUCCACUACAAGAUGGACCUGCGUUGUAUUAGCUAGUAGGUGAGGUAAUGGCUCACCUAGGCGACGAUACAUAGCCGACCUGAGAGGGUGAUCGGCCACACUGGGACUGAGACACGGCCCAGACUCCUACGGGAGGCAGCAGUAGGGAAUCUUCGGCAAUGGGGGCAACCCUGACCGAGCAACGCCGCGUGAGUGAAGAAGGUUUUCGGAUCGUAAAGCUCUGUUGUAAGUCAAGAACGGGUGUGAGAGUGGAAAGUUCACACUGUGACGGUAGCUUACCAGAAAGGGACGGCUAACUACGUG